AUUGCAGGCUGAAACUCGCCUGCAUGAAGUCGGAAUUGCUAGUAAUCGCAGAUCAGCAUGCUGCGGUGAAUACGUUCCCGGGCCUUGUACACACCGCCCGUCACACCAUGAGAGUCGGGAACACCCGAAGUCCGUAGCCUAACCGCAAGGAGGGCGCGGCCGAAGGUGGGUUCGAUAAUUGGGGUGAAGUCGUAACAAGGUAGC
rnacentral:rRNA from 1 species